ensembl:snRNA U6 U6 spliceosomal RNA
GUGUUUGUCUCGGCAGCGCAUAUACUAAAAAUGAAAUGUUUUGGGGAAGGUUAGCAUUACCCUUGUAGAAGGAUGACUUGCACAUUUUUGUAGCAGUCCUUGUUAAU